rnacentral:rRNA from 1 species
UAGGGGAUAUUGCACAAUGGGCGGAAGCCUGAUGCAGCAACGCCGCGUGAGUGAUGAAGGCCCUCGGGUCGUAAAACUCUUUUCAAGAGGAAGAGGAAGGACGGUACUCUUGGAAUAAGCCUCGGCUAACUACGUGCCAGCAGCCGCGGUAACACGUAGGAGGCGAGUGAUAUUCGGAUUUACUGGGCGUAAAGCGCGUGUAGGCGGCUGAUCAAGUUGGAUGUGAAAGCUCCCGGCUUAACUGGGAGAGGACGUUCAAAACUGAACAGCUUGAGUAUGAGAGAGGAAAAUGGAAUUCCGGGUGUAGUGGUGAAAUGCGUAGAUAUCCGGAGGAACACCAGUGGCGAAGGUGAUUUUCUGGCUCAAGACUGACGCUCAGACGCGAAAGCUAGGGUAGCAAACGG